GACGAACGCUGGCGGCGUGCUUAACACAUGCAAGUCGAGCGGUAAGGCCCUUUCGGGGGUACACGAGCGGCGAACGGGUGAGUAACACGUGGGUGACCUGCCCUCAGCUCUGGGAUAAGCCUGGGAAACUGGGUCUAAUACUGGAUAUGACUCCACGGUGCAUGUCGUGGGUGGAAAGCCUUGUGCGGCUGAGGAUGGGCCCGCGGCCUAUCAGCUUGUUGGUGGGGUGAUGGCCUACCAAGGCGACGAC
rnacentral:rRNA from 1 species